rnacentral:rRNA from 1 species
GAUGAACGCUGGCGGCGUGCCUAAUACAUGCAAGUCGAGCGAACGGACGAGAAGCUUGCUUCUCUGAUGUUAGCGGCGGACGGGUGAGUAACACGUGGAUAACCUACCUAUAAGACUGGGAUAACUUCGGGAAACCGGAGCUAAUACCGGAUAAUAUUUUGAACCGCAUGGUUCAAAAGUGAAAGACGGUCUUGCUGUCACUUAUAGAUGGAUCCGCGCUGCAUUAGCUAGUUGGUAAGGUAACGGCUUACCAAGGCAACGAUGCAUAGCCGACCUGAGAGGGUGAUCGGCCACACUGGAACUGAGACACGGUCCAGACUCCUACGGGAGGCAGCAGUAGGGAAUCUUCCGCAAUGGGCGAAAGCCUGACGGAGCAACGCCGCGUGAGUGAUGAAGGUCUUCGGAUCGUAAAACUCUGUUAUUAGGGAAGAACAUAUGUGUAAGUAACUGUGCACAUCUUGACGGUACCUAAUCAGAAAGCCACGGCUAACCACGUGCCAGCAGCCGCGGUAAUACGUAGGUGGCAAGCGUUAUCCGGAAUUAUUGGGCGUAAAGCGCGCGUAGGCGGUUUUUUAAGUCUGAUGUGAAAGCCCACGGCUCAACCGUGGAGGGUCAUUGGAAACUGGAAAACUUGAGUGCAGAAGAGGAAAGUGGAAUUCCAUGUGUAGCGGUGAAAUGCGCAGAGAUAUGGAGGAACACCAGUGGCGAAGGCGACUUUCUGGUCUGUAACUGACGCUGAUGUGCGAAAGCGUGGGGAUCAAACAGGAUUAGAUACCCUGGUAGUCCACGCCGUAAACGAUGAGUGCUAAGUGUUAGGGGGUUUCCGCCCCUUAGUGCUGCAGCUAACGCAUUAGGCACUCCGCCUGGGGAGUACGACCGCAAGGUUGAAACUCAAAGGAAUUGACGGGGACCCGCACAAGCGGUGGAGCAUGUGGUUUAAUUCGAAGCAACGCGAAGAACCUUACCAAAUCUUGACAUCCUUUGACAACUCUAGAGAUAGAGCCUUCCCCUUCGGGGGACAAAGUGACAGGUGGUGCAUGGUUGUCGUCAGCUCGUGUCGUGAGAUGUUGGGUUAAGUCCCGCAACGAGCGCAACCCUUAAGCUUAGUUGCCAUCAUUAAGUUGGGCACUCUAAGUUGACUGCCGGUGACAAACCGGAGGAAGGUGGGGAUGACGUCAAAUCAUCAUGCCCCUUAUGAUUUGGGCUACACACGUGCUACAAUGGACAAUACAAAGGGUAGCGAAACCGCGAGGUCAAGCAAAUCCCAUAAAGUUGUUCUCAGUUCGGAUUGUAGUCUGCAACUCGACUACAUGAAGCUGGAAUCGCUAGUAAUCGUAGAUCAGCAUGCUACGGUGAAUACGUUCCCGGGUCU